rnacentral:rRNA from 1 species
UACAGAGGGUGCGAGCGUUGUUCGGAAUUAUUGGGCGUAAAGCGCUGGUAGGUGGUUUGUUAAGUCGCGUGUGAAAGCUCCAGGCUCAACCUGGAAAGUGCGCGCGAAACUGGCGAACUUGAGUGCCGGAGAGGGUCGCGGAAUUCCCAGUGUAGAGGUGAAAUUCGUAGAUAUUGGGAGGAACACCAGAGGCGAAGGCGGCGACCUGGAAGGUAACUGACACUGAGCAGCGAAAGCGUGGGGAGCAAACAGGAUUAGAUACCCUGGUAGUCCACGCCGUAAACGAUGGAUGCUAGUUGUGGCGGGAGUUGACCCCUGCCGUGACGACGCUAACGCAAUAAGCAUCCCGCCUGGGAAGUACGGCCGCAAGGUUAAA